CCUUUGACGUUAGCGGCGGACGGGUGAGUAACACGUGGGUAACCUACCUAUAAGACUGGGAUAACUUCGGGAAACCGGAGCUAAUACCGGAUAAUAUUUCGAACCGCAUGGUUCGAUAGUGAAAGGUGGUUUUGCUAUCACUUAUAGAUGGACCCGCGCCGUAUUAGCUAGUUGGUAAGGUAACGGCUUACCAAGGCGACUAUACGUAGCCGACCUGAGAGGGUGAUCGGCCACACUGGAACUGAGACACGGUCCAGACUCCUACGGGAGGCAGCAGUC
rnacentral:rRNA from 1 species